UUUGAAAAGAGAGUUAAACAGUAUGUGAAAUUGUUAAAAGGGAACCGUUUGGAGCCAGACUGGCUUGAUCGUAAUCACUCUAGGCUUUGGCCUGGAUGCACUUGCGGUCUAUGCCGGCCAACGACAGUUUUGUUUGAGGGAAAAAAUUACAUUGAAUGUGGCCCUUCGGGGUGUUAUAGCUUUGUAAAAAAUACCUUGGACGGGACUGAGGAACGCAGCGAAUGCCUUUAGGCGAGAUUGCUGGGUGCUUGCGCUGAUACAUGCUAGAAUUUCUGCUUUGGGUGGUGCUAGUGUGUAAAGGAGUAACCCGCUUAGUAUAUUUUUUAUUCGCUUAGGUUGUUGGCUUAAUGACUCUAAAUGACCCGUCUUGAAACACGACCAAG
rnacentral:rRNA from 1 species